rnacentral:rRNA from 1 species
UACGUAGGGUGCAAGCGUUAUCCGGAUUCAUUGGGCGUAAAGAGCUCGUAGGCGGCUUGGCAAGUCGGAUGUGAAAACUCCAGGCUCAACCUGGAGCCGCCAUUCGAGACUGCCAUGGCUAGAGUCCGGUAGGGGAGUGUGGAAUUCCCGGUGUAGCGGUGAAAUGCGCAGAUAUCGGGAGGAACACCGAUGGCGAAGGCAGCACUCUGGGCCGGUACUGACGCUGAGGAGCGAAAGCGUGGGGAGCAAACAGG